rnacentral:rRNA from 1 species
UUCCUACGGGGCGCAGCAGUGGGGAAUAUUGCACAAUGGGGGAAACCCUGAUGCAGCGACGCCGCGUGAAGGAUGAAGUAUUUCGGUAUGUAAACUUCUAUCAGCAGGGAAGAAAAUGACGGUACCUGACUAAGAAGCCCCGGCUAACUACGUGCCAGCAGCCGCGGUAAUACGUAGGGGGCAAGCGUUAUCCGGAUUUACUGGGUGUAAAGGGUGCGUAGGUGGCAGGGCAAGUCAGAUGUGAAAGCCCGGGGCCCAACCCCGGUACUGCAUUUGAAACUGUCCGGCUGGAGUGCAGGAGAGGG